UCCGUAGUGGUGUAGUGGUUAACAUCGCUGUCUCUCAUUCCUCAACUGGAUGAGGACACAGCAGCCCGGGGUUCGAUUCCCCGCUACGGAA
rnacentral:tRNA from 1 species